GCCAUGCCUGGGCAUAUGGAGGUUCCCAGGUUCCCAGGCUAGGGGCUGAAUCAGAGCUGUAGCUGCCGGCCUAACCACAGCUACAGAAACUCGAGAUCCAAUCCACGUCUGCAACCUGCACCACAGCUCACAGCAACGCCAGAUCCUUAACCAACUGAGUGAGGCCCGGGAUCAAUCCCGUGUCCUCAUGGAUGCUAGUCGGGUUUGUUAACUGCUGAGCCAUGACAGGAAAUCCUGUAGUGUCACUCUUUAAGAAACCUAGAGAGAUAGGUUCCCUAGUUACAUAUUCUCUAAGAACCUGCGAUCUUUCUUUUUACCCCAUCUAAUUAUAGCUACUUCGCUACUGAUCUUGACUUUUUUUUAAUGUUUUCGUCCUCCACUAGACAGCUACACGGCAUCAAGAACUCUGUGUAAUUCUCAAGUGCCUAAGACUUAGCAGCUAUUAGGUACUUAAUAGAUAGGGUGAAUGAACUGAAAAAGGUUACAAGUUUGGGGUCAGCCAUGGGAAUGAGGAUCAAGUGAUUCUUUGCUCACAGAGCAACAAAGCCAAAAACAAAAUUACAGGUGAACUCUGACAACACAGCAAACCAAAGGAGGAAGGACUGGACCUUGGGGUGUUGGCAACUGUUUCUUAUCUCCACUCUUCAGUGGUUUUGGGACGGUGUCACACAUGGAACACAAAGCUCUGUGCAAUAGGCAGAAGGAGGCAGUCUAGAAGCCGGCUGCUUGGGCUGUACAAGCACAGCACACCAAAAGUCAGCAUAGUUUGUCAGCAGGAGUCUUAUUCCCUGAGUCCCUAGAGAGUGAGACACUCUAUUUUUUUUUUUCGCUCAAACAGCCACAGUUGCAGGAUAUGGAAGUUCCCAGGCCAGGGGUCAAAGCAGGGCUGCAGCUGAGGCCUACGCCACAGCCAGAGCAACACCAGAUCCAAGCUGCAUCUGCGACCUACACCAGAGCUUGUGGCAACACCAGAUCCUUAACCCACUGAGCAAGGUCAUGGAUCAAACCAGCAACCUCAUAGAGACAAUGUCAGAUCCUUAACCUGCUGAGCCACAAGAACUCCAAACUCAUUUUUUUAAAAAACUGUUUCCAGCUAACUCUGGAAAACUAGAAAGGUUCCAGGAAUCCAAAAGUCUGUAAGAAGGUUUAAAGGGGGCAGAGCAUGUGCUGAUUCUUUAACAGCAUCAUGUAAUAAGCAUGGGAGGAGAUAUUAACUGACACCUCAGCUUAGCAAGUGCCCUGGGAAAUGACUGACGUCCAGAAGAGGUCCUUUCAUUUAUCCCUUCAUGGGUUCCAGCCUACAUGCUGCUCCUACCUACUUACUUAACCAUGUUUGCAUGAUUAAGGCCUUUCCCCACCCAUCCAACUUAAAUAGUGCUAAAAUCUUAAUUAAAAUACACUUUAAAAAAUGAUGAACAACCAAAUUCAGGUGCUGCAUAAUUUAUUUACCUUUAUGCAACUCUUCCCCCAAGGAACUCAAGGCAUUUGGCAAACUUAAAAUUAUCUAACAGAUAUUAAUCUUCACAAAAUUCUCAGGAGAAAGACAAGAAUGUAAGGAACACAAUCAAUAAUAGAUCCUUUACCUCCACACACAUACACCUUCCUUCCACAAAUCCAAGUGUGCACCCUGUCUCUCUGAGCCUCUAAACUAAUUCAGAAAAUUAUAAGAUUUUUUUUUAGGAAGCCAUCCCAAACAGAAGAGGAGCUAAUGACUUUUCUACCACACUGUGAAAAAGGUCAGUAAAUCUCUUCUAGUCUGCAAUAGGAAAAAAAAAAAAAAAAAUCCUAUCCUACUCCAAAGUUAAAUUUUCCAGACCAACUUAAAACGCAAUUUGUGCUUUAAAAAAAGUUACUGAGGGAGUUCCCACUGUGGCUCAGUGGGUUAAGGACAUGAUGUUGUCUCUGUAAGGAUGAAGGUUAGAUCCCUGGCCUUGCUCAGUGGGUUAUGGAUCCAGCACGGCUGCAAGCUACAGCACAGGUCGCAGAUGCGGCUCGGAUCCAGUGUUGCCAUGGCUGUGGUAUAUGCCUCAUCUGCAGCUCUGAUUCACCCCCUGGCCCAGGAACUUCCAUAUGCUGCAGGUGCAGCCCUAAGAAGAAAAAGAGAAGUUACUGAAUUCUAAUACUCAUGUUGCUCCCACUAUCUCUGAGCUAACCCCUCAGAGGAGAAUCUGUAUUGUAAACAAAACAUCUCAGGAUUUCCAGGGCCUUCAAAGGUAUAUGGUAAGGAUUUACUUCCUAAGUUAGGUAAUAAGUAUGAUUUGGGGGCUUAUUUUUCUUCUUUAAGAAAAAAUACAUAUAUAUGGUUUAAAGAAGAAAAAUAUGUAUUUUAUAUAUUUAUUUAUAUGUUUAUACACACACACACGUAGUUGCUCUAGAGCUCCUGAUGAACUCUGUGCAGUCAGGACGGGAACCAUGCUUUGGGAACCUUACAGUAAGGGAAUAUAUUUCUAUUGCUUUAAACACCCAGUGUUUAAAAUGGUACUUUGUUAGGCAAUCCCAGUCCUAGAAAACUAAUACAAACCCCUCCUAUGAGUCAUGUUGACAGUAUCUGACCUAAUUUUGAGAAGUCUGCCACAGGUUCUAGAAUCCCAAGAACAUUUGUUCAAGAAAAGACCUCUAAAUAAUUCCAUUGUUGUGAAGAUAAGAAAAAAAAAAAAGAAAAAAAGAAAAAAGAAAAAAGAAAAAAAAACUGGAGAGUUCUCCUUGUGGCUCAACAGGUUAAGAACCCAACAUAGUGUCUAUGAGGAUAUGGGUUUGAUCCCUGGCCUUCCUCAGUGGGUUAAGGAUCUGACAGUGGUGCAAACUGCAGUAUAGGUCACAGAUGCAGCUCAGAACCUGCUAUGGCUGUGGCCCCAGCUGCAGCUCUGAUUUGACUCCUAGCCACAGGGACAGCCGUGUUAAAAAAAAAAAAAAAGAGUUUCAUAAAGAGUCUAAAAUUCUUAUCAUAAACUGUCAUUUGGUAGGGACAGUAUUUUAGGAACGCCUCCUAAAAUAUCUGGAAAAAAUGAGACCCAGUACUUUUUUAAGCAGAGAAGAGAGUUCAGGGACUAACAGGGAGUACGGACAAAGACAGCCUGGCCUCUUGGCUCUGUAAAAGCAGAUAGGAAAUGCCAUUAAACAAAUACUGUUGCCCAAGUAAGUUUUAAAGAAUUUGAAACUAUUCCCGAAAGUCUUGCUUAUUAGCCUCUGUUCCUAUUUUAAAAUUAAAAGGUUCAAGAGAGCCCUGAUCUGUACCUGGUUUGCUGGAACCAUAUUUGCAAAGAGCUAAUAUUUGGAGGAAAGUAAGUGAGGAAAAAGCUAUCUGGUUCUACUAUCCAUCCAUCUGUCCUUUUAAGUGUCUGACUAUAAUCCACAGCAGACAUACUUAGCAAACUUUAAAAUACAGCCUCUCAACAUUGUUACAAUUAAGUCACUCUGAAAUGUCAUGAAAAGCAAUCUAGUCCCAUUAAAAUCUUCACACUCUCAUUAAAAAAGCACUUACAGACUUGAAAAUGUUCCUAAUACAUUAUUUAAAGACACAAGAUGUACAGUGACUAAAAUCCUUGUAUAAGGAAGAAUAGUAGCAGCCUACUUUUUUUUUUUUUAAUGUGCAAAUUUGUGUCAUAAUUGGGUAAUUGGCAAACUGCAGGUAGCAGUCAGGUUGCAAUAUACUAGUUUAAAAUAGGCCUGGGGGCCUUCCCCUCCUCUGAAAUUCCAGCCCACCCAGGGACCAUCCACAUCGUGGUAUCCAGCUUUAACUAAUGAUCCCUCCCCUUUCCUUCCUGGAUUUCCAAGCCCAGGAAGGGGAAGGGCAAGAGUUGUCAGGAGGAAAAAAAAAAAAAAUCCAGAUCAUUUCAGCUGACACCCCCAGGCCAUUAGUCAUCACUGUAAAGUCCUGACCUCCGGUCCAUAGGUCUCCUCCCUUUCAAUUAAGGGUCACUGCUAUUUAUGCGUUACCAUUCAGAGACCUAAAGUGCUUUUACAGGCCCUAAAUCCCAUAAAGGAACAGCAAGAUCCCCAGGCUGGAUGUCUCUAUUCCACUCCUCCCUUCUCCCAUCCCCCCCAAACCCCAUACAAUCCACCUUUAACUCAGGAGCUCAAUUUUGAACAUGGAGGGGGUCUGACACCUGACUCUAAUGCAACUACAUUUGGUCUCUUCAAUGCAGAGAGAUGCAGUAUGCCUUGUGGGAUCAGGCUGACCUCAGUGGGUUUCACAGGUCUACAUUCAUUUAAUGUUUG
rnacentral:lncRNA from 1 species